CUACGGGAUGCACCAGUGAGGAAUAUUGCACAAUGGGGGGAACCCUGAUGCAGCAACGCCGCGUGGAGGAUGACGCAUUUCGGUGUGUAAACUCCUUUUAUAUGUCAAGAAAAUGACGGUAGCAUAUGAAUAAGCACCGGCUAACUCCGUGCCAGCAGCCGCGGUAAUACGGAGGGUGCAAACGUUACUCGGAAUCACUGGGCGUAAAGGACGCGUAGGCGGGUUGGAAAGUCAGGUGUGAAAUCCUACAGCUUAACUGUAGAACUGCACUUGAAACUUCUAAUCUAGAGUAUGGGAGGGGGAGAUGGAAUUAGUGGUGUAGGGGUAAAAUCCGUAGAUAUCACUAGGAAUACCUAAAGCGAAGGCGAUCUCCUGGAACAUUACUGACGCUAAGGCGUGAAAGCGUGGGGAGCAAACAGAAUUAGAUACCCUUGUAGUC
rnacentral:rRNA from 1 species